rnacentral:rRNA from 1 species
UGGGGAAUAUUGCACAAUGGGCGCAAGCCUGAUGCAGCCAUGCCGCGUGUGUGAAGAAGGCCUUCGGGUUGUAAAGCACUUUCAGCGGGGAGGAAGGCGUUAAGGUUAAUAACCUUGGCGAUUGACGUUACCCGCAGAAGAAGCACCGGCUAACUCCGUGCCAGCAGCCGCGGUAAUACGGAGGGUGCAAGCGUUAAUCGGAAUUACUGGGCGUAAAGCGCACGCAGGCGGUCUGUCAAGUCGGAUGUGAAAUCCCCGGGCUCAACCUGGGAACGGCAUCUGAUACUGGCAAGCUUGAGUCUCGUAGAGGGGGGUAGAAUUCCAGGUGUAGCGGUGAAAUGCGUGGAGAUCUGGAGGAAUACCGGUGGCGAAGGCGGCCCCCUGGACGAAGACUGACGCUCAGGUGCGAAAGCGUGGGGAGCAAACAGG